rnacentral:rRNA from 1 species
UACAGAGGUCUCAAGCGUUGUUCGGAUUCAUUGGGCGUAAAGGGUGCGUAGGUGGCGGGGCAAGUCUGGUGUGAAAUCCUGGGGCUCAACCCCGGAACUGCACUGGAUACUGCUUUGCUAGAGUACUGGAGAGGGAACUGGAAUUUACGGUGUAGCAGUGAAAUGCGUAGAUAUCGUAAGGAAGACCAGUGGCGAAGGCGAGUCUCUGGACAGCUACCGACGCUGAGGCACGAAGGCCAGGGGAGCAAACGGG